UCACUCAGCAGUGCUCAUUAGCCCACUUGAAGCAACGCAUGGAUACAGCUACAUUGCUUCUGAUUUAGGGCAUAGCCUACACAGAGCAGCAGGGUGUCCUAGAGUGAACCAUUGUCAGAUAAAAGCAGAGCUACAAGACAAGCAGAACGACUGGUACAAGAUAGAUUAAUAGAAAGAGAUAGCUCUCUGUUUCCUACUAGAACAACAGCUGCAAUAUCAUCAUGGGCUCCAAAAGGACAGAAAUGUGUGUCUGUGGUCAUUGUUCAGCUUUGGCAAGCAACUGUGGAGAUACUGUGCCGGCAGCUAUUGAUACGGAGGCUUGGGGACAGCUCUACCAUGCAGAUCACCCGAAACCACUCCAGGGCUUUGAGACUUGUUGCUAUUGGGUGUGGUCCAGGGAGUCGCCAGA